UACGUAGGGUGCAAGCGUUAUCCGGAAUUAUUGGGCGUAAAGAGCUCGUAGGCGGUUUGUCGCGUCUGCUGUGAAAACUGGAGGCUCAACCUCCAGCCUGCAGUGGGUACGGGCAGACUAGAGUGCGGUAGGGGAGAUUGGAAUUCCUGGUGUAGCGGUGAAAUGCGCAGAUAUCAGGAGGAACACCGAUGGCGAAGGCCGGUCUCUGGGCCACUACUGACGCUGAGAAGCGAAAGCAUGGGGAGCGAACAGG
rnacentral:rRNA from 1 species